rnacentral:rRNA from 1 species
AGAACCUGCCCUUGGGAGGGGAACAACAGCUGGAAACGGCUGCUAAUACCCCAUAGGCUGAGGAACAAAAGGAGAAAUCCGCCCAAGGAGGGGCUCGCGUCUGAUUAGUUAGUUGGUGAGGCAAUGGCUUACCAAGGCGACGAUCAGUAGCUGGUCCGAGAGGAUGAUCAGCCACACUGGGACUGAGACACGGCCCAGACUCCUACGGGAGGCAGCAGUGGGGAAUUUUCCGCAAUGGGCGAAAGCCUGACCGAGCA